UACACGACCGUACCGCAAACCGACACUGGUGCGCGAGAUGAGUAUUCUAAGGCGCUUGAGAGAACUCAGGAGAAGGAACUCGGCAAAUUGACUCCGUAACUUCGGAAGAAGGUGUGCCUUUAGUAGGUGAACCUGUACAAGGGGAGCCCAAUGAGGUUGCAAAAAAUCGGUGGCUGCGACUGUUUAAUAAAAACACAGCACUCUGCAAACACGAAAGUGGACGUAUAGGGUGUGACGCCUGCCCGGUGCUGGAAGAUUAAAUGAUGGGGUGCAAGCUCUUGAUUGAAGUCCCAGUAAACGGCGGCCGUAACAAUAACGGUCCUAAGGUAGCGAAAUUCCUUGUCGGGUAAGUUCCGACCUGCACGAAUGGCGUAACGAUGGCCACACUGUCUCCUCCUGAGACUCAGCGAAGUUGAAAUGUUUGUGAUGAUGCAAUCUCCCCGCGGAAAGACGGAAAGACCCCAUGAACCUUUACUGUAGCUUUGUAUUGGACUUUGAACAGAUCUGUGUAGGAUAGGUGGGAGGCUUUGAAGUGUGGUCGCUAGAUCGCAUGGAGCCAACGUUGAAAUACCACCCUGGUGUGUUUGAGGUUCUAACCUAGGCCCGUAAUCCGGGUCGGGGACAGUGCAUGGUAGGCAGUUUGACUGGGGCGGUCUCCUCCCAAAGCGUAACGGAGGAGUUCGAAGGUACGCUAGGUACGGUCGGACAUCGUGCUAAUAGUGCAAUGGCAUAAGCGUGCUUAACUGCGAGACUGACAAGUCGAGCAGAUGCGAAAGCAGGACAUAGUGAUCCGGUGGUUCUGUAUGGAAGGGCCAUCGCUCAACGGAUAAAAGGUACUCUGGGGAUAACAGGCUGAUACCGCCCAAGAGUUCAUAUCGACGGCGGUGUUUGGCACCUCGAUGUCGGCUCAUCUCAUCCUGGGGCUGUAGCCGGUCCCAAGGGUAUGGCUGUUCGCCAUUUAAAGAGGUACGUGAGCUGGGUUUAAAACGUCGUGAGACAGUUUGGUCCCUAUCUUCCGUGGGCGCUGCAGAUUUGAGGAAGCCUGCUCCUAGUACGAGAGGACCGGAGUGGACACACCUCUGGUGUAUCGGUUGUCACGCCAGUGGCAUUGCCGAGUAGCUAUGUGUGGAAGAGAUAACCGCUGAAAGCAUCUAAGCGGGAAACUCGUUUCAAGAUGAGAUCUGCCGGGGCCUUGAGCCCCCUAAAGAGUCGUUCAAGACCAGGACGUUGAUAGGUCGGGUGUGGAAGCGCAGUAAUGCGUUAAGCUAACCGAUACUAAUUGCUCGUGCGGCUUGACCAG
rnacentral:rRNA from 1 species